GUUCCCUAAUGUGACGCCAGUUCUUUGCCAGUUUAAACGUUAGUAGAUCGAAGGAAGGAAUUCCGUGAAAAUCGGAAGCAGUUGCGCUGCUGUAACUGGAUACAACUCCUCAAUGGCCAAUCGCCGGUGUCCCGGUGGUGAAGGCGGGGAGAAGGAUGGCGGGGCUUGAGCAUUUUUUAGAAAUGCCCAAACCGCGCCGGAAGCCAGAAGCCAGAACAUUUCCUCGAGCUGCUCUCAUUCG
rnacentral:ncRNA from 2 species